rnacentral:rRNA from 1 species
GAUGAACGCUAGCGGCAGGCUUAACACAUGCAAGUCGAGGGGCAGCAUAAUGAAGUAGCAAUACGGAAUUGAUGGCGACCGGCGCACGGGUGCGUAACGCGUAUGCAACCUACCCAUAACAGGGGGAUAACACUGAGAAAUUGGUACUAAUACCCCAUAAUACUUUGGAAGGCAUCUUUUGGAGUUGAAAGUUCAGGCGGUUAUGGAUGGGCAUGCGUUGUAUUAGCUAGAUGGUGGGGUAAUGGCUCACCAUGGCUACGAUACAUAGGGGGACUGAGAGGUUAACCCCCCACACUGGUACUGAGACACGGACCAGACUCCUACGGGAGGCAGCAGUGAGGAAUAUUGGUCAAUGGGCGCGAGCCUGAACCAGCCAAGUAGCGUGAAGGAUGACUGCCCUACGGGUUGUAAACUUCUUUUGUUGGAAUAAAUGAUACUACGUGUAGGAUGAUGAGAGUACCUGACGAAUAAGCAUCGGCUAACUCCGUG